rnacentral:tRNA from 1 species
GCAUUGGUGGCUCAGUGAUACAAUUCUUGCUUUCUAUGUGUGAGACCAGGAUUCAAUUCCCUGCCAAUGCA